rnacentral:rRNA from 1 species
GAUGAACGCUGGCGGCGUGCCUAAUACAUGCAAGUCGAGCGAACAGACGAGGAGCUUGCUCCUUUGACGUUAGCGGCGGACGGGUGAGUAACACGUGGGUAACCUACCUAUAAGACUGGGAUAACUUCGGGAAACCGGAGCUAAUACCGGAUAAUAUUUCGAACCGCAUGGUUCGAUAGUGAAAGAUGGCUUUGCUAUCACUUAUAGAUGGACCUGCGCCGUAUUAGCUAGUUGGUAAGGUAACGGCUUACCAAGGCAACGAUACGUAGCCGACCUGAGAGGGUGAUCGGCCACACUGGAACUGAGACACGGUCCAGACUCCUACGGGAGGCAGCAGUAGGGAAUCUUCCGCAAAGGGCGAAAGCCUGACGGAGCAACGCCGCGUGAGUGAUGAAGGUCUUCGGAUCGUAAAACUCUGUUAUUAGGGAAGAACAAACGUGUAAGUAACUGUGCACGUCUUGAAGGUACCUAAUCAGAAAGCCACGGCUAACUACGUG